UACGGAGGAUGCGAGCGUUAUCCGGAUUUAUUGGGUUUAAAGGGUGCGUAGGCGGGCUUUUAAGUCAGCGGUAAAAAUUCGGGGCUCAACCCCGUCCGGCCGUUGAAACUGGGGGCCUUGAGUGGGCGAGAAGAAGGCGGAAUGCGUGGUGUAGCGGUGAAAUGCAUAGAUAUCACGCAGAACCCCGAUUGCGAAGGCAGCCUUCCGGCGCCCUACUGACGCUGAGGCACGAAAGCGUGGGUAUCGAACAGG
rnacentral:rRNA from 1 species